CGCCUCUUGACAUAAUAUAAGAGGUCCAGCCUGCCCAGUGACUUUGUUCAACGGCCGCGGUAUCCUAACCGUGCGAAGGUAGCGUAAUCACUUGUUCUUUAAAUGAGGACUAGUAUGAAUGGCAUCACGAAGGUUAUACUGUCUCCUUUUUCUAAUCAGUGAAACUAAUCCCCCCGUGAAGAAACGGGGAUAAACCUAUAAGACGAGAAGACCCUAUGGAGCUUCAAACUAAAUAACACUUGCUACAGCCAUAACCUCACUUCAGAGUAAUUACAUACAUUUUAGCUUCUUGAUUAUUAGUUUUAGGUUGGGGUGACCGCGGAGUAAAAAAUAACCUCCACAUUGAAUGGGAAAAACUCCCUGAGCUGUGAACUACACCUCUAAGCACCAAUAAAUUGACAUCAAUUGACCCAAUAUAUUGAUCAACGAACCAAGUUACCCUAGGGAUAACAGCGCAAUCCGCUUUAAGAGCCCAUAUCGACAAGCGGGUUUACGACCUCGAUGUUGGAUCAGGGUAUCCCAGUGGUGCAGCCGCUACUAAAGGUUCGUUUGUUCAACGAUUAAAACCCU
rnacentral:rRNA from 1 species